GGGUGAGUAACACGUAGGUAAUCUACCUUUGGGUGGGGAAUAACAAUCGGAAACGGUUGCUAAUACCGCAUAAUGCAGCGGCUCGACAUCGAGACAGUUGUUAAAGCGGGGGAACUUCGGUCCUCGCGCCUAAGGAGGAGCCUGCGGCGGAUUAGCUUGUUGGCGGGGUAAUGGCUCACCAAGGCAACGAUCCGUAGCCGGCCUGAGAGGGCGGUCGGCCACACUGACACUGAAUAACGGGUCAGACUCCUACGGGAGGCAGCAGUCGGGAAUUUUGGGCAAUGGGCGAAAGCCUGACCCAGCAACGCCGCGUGAAGGAUGAAAUCCCUCGGGAUGUAAACUUCAGAAGGACAGGAAGAAUAAUCUUAAGAUAAUACCUUUAGUGAUGACGGUACUGUCUUUAAGCUCCGGCUAACUCCGUGCCAGCAGCCGCGGUAAUACGGGGGGAGCAAGCGUUGUUCGGAUUUACUGGGCGUAAAGGGCGCGUAGGCGGCGUGACAAGUCACUUGUGAAAUCUCCGGGCUUAACUCGGAACGGUCAAGUGAUACUGUUGUGCUAGAGUGCAGAAGGGGCAACUGGAAUUCUCGGUGUAGCGGUGAAAUGCGUAGAUAUCGAGAGGAAUACCUGUGGCGAAGGCGGGUUGCUGGGCUGACACUGACGCUGAGGCGCGAAAGCUAGGGGAGCGAACGGGAUUAGAUACCCCGGUAGUCCUAGCCUUAAACGAUGAAUGCUUGGUGUCUGGGGUUUUAUAUUCCCCGGGUGCCGUCGCUAACGCAUUAAGCAUUCCGCCUGGGGAGUACGGUCGCAAGACUGAAACUCAAAGGAAUUGACAGGGACCCGCACAAGCGGUGGAGCAUGUGGUUUAAUUCGACGCAACGCGAAGAACCUUACCUGGACUAGAAUGCCUUCGACAGUCCCGUAACGGGGAUCUCUUGGGUAAAACCAAGCGGAGUGCAAGGUGCUGCAUGGCUGUCGUCAGCUCGUGUCGUGAGAUGUUGGGUUAAGUCCCGCAACGAGCGCAACCCUUAUCAACAGUUGCCAUCAUUAAGUUGGGAACUCUGUUGAGACUGCCGUUGAUAAAACGGAGGGAGGUGGGGAUGACGUCAAGUCCUCAUGGCCUUUAUGUUCAGGGCUACACACGUGCUACAAUGGCUGGUACAAAGCGCAGCAAGCCCGCGAGGGGGAGCCAAUCGCAAAAAACCAGUCUCAGUUCGGAUUGCACUCUGCAACUCGAGUGCAUGAAGCUGGAAUCGCUAGUAAUCGCAAAUCAGCAUGUUGCGGUGAAU
rnacentral:rRNA from 1 species